rnacentral:rRNA from 1 species
CGGGGGUAGAGCACUGUUUCGGCUAGGGGGCCAUCCCGGCUUACCAACCCGAUGCAAACUGCGAAUACCGGAGAAUGUUAUCACGGGAGACACACGGCGGGUGCUAACGUCCGUCGUGAAGAGGGAAACAACCCAGACCGCCAGCUAAGGUCCCAAAGUCAUGGUUAAGUGGGAAACGAUGUGGGAAGGCCCAGACAGCCAGGAUGUUGGCUUAGAAGCAGCCAUCAUUUAAAGAAAGCGUAAUAGCUCACUGGUCGAGUCGGCCUGCGCGGAAGAUGUAACGGGGCUAAACCAUGCACCGAAGCUGCGGCAGCGACGCUGAUGCGUUGUUGGGUAGGGGAGCGUUCUGUAAGCCUG